AAGAUAUGAGGCGGUCUUUGUGGAAAAAGCUUGUUUAGUUGACUAACUUUGUACUUGAAGAGUUAGCCUUGGACCAAGACGUUCAUUGCCUCUUACUACCAAUGUGCAAUACACCUCCCAACCGCUAUAGUGGCGCAGUAGAAAGCCGGUGCACUCAUUCAUUGCAGGACGAAGAAGGGGUGAAGAAAAUUUCAGACAUCCGAGAUAAAAUGCAUGUUUAUUGAACAAUAACGGAUAUACAAACACACGGCAACGCCCCCGUACACCUUCCUAACAUCUGUGCCUAUGAGCAAUGGCGCUACAACUGCGAAAGCCGGAAGUUGGGCAUCUGGUUAAUACUUUUAACGGAAGUAGACAGAGCGCAACGAGUCACACCAUAUGACCAUGCCCAACGGAGGGACACUGGUGACUUGUAGGCGCCAUCAUUAAAAUCUAUGGCUAGAAAAGGCAACCAGGGGCUGAACCCAAAACGUUAACAAACAGGCUAGCUAGUGAAAAACAUUAGACUUCAGCGUGAGAGUAUCCUUGUUCUCCUGUGCAUGACGUCAGAGCAAAGGUUGGGAUGAUGUCGGGACACAAAUGUAACCUUUACUUAGUAGUCAGUUUCAGUCUGUCACUUGCGUUUUGACAAUUCUGCUUUCUAUGAUGCCUGAGUUUGUAUUAUUCACUGUUUUCAAUAAAGUUGAAUUGAAAGG